UACAGAGGGUGCGAGCGUUAAUCGGAAUUACUGGGCGUAAAGCGUGCGUAGACGGUUAUUUAAGUCGGGUGUGAAAGCCCCGGGCUCAACCUGGGAAUUGCGUUCGAUACUGAAUAGCUAGAGUUCGGCAGAGGGAAGCGGAAUUUCUGGUGUAGCGGUGAAAUGCGUAGAUAUCAGAAGGAACAUCAGUGGCGAAAGCGGCUUCCUGGACCAGAACUGACGAUCAGGCACGAAAGCGUGGGGAGCAAACAGG
rnacentral:rRNA from 1 species